rnacentral:rRNA from 1 species
CGGAGGGUGCGAGCGUUGUCCGGAAUCAUUGGGCGUAAAGGGCGCGUAGGUGGCCCGGUCAGUCUUUGGUGAAAGCGCGGGGCUCAACCCUGCGUCGGCCAGGGAUACUGCCGCGGCUCGAGCACUGUAGAGGCAGGCGGAAUUCCGGGUGUAGCGGUGGAAUGCGUAGAGAUCCGGAAGAACACCGGUGGCGAAGGCGGCCUGCUGGGCAGUUUUGCUGACACUGAGGCGCGACAGCGUGGGGAGCAAACAGGAUUAGAUACCCUGGUAGUCCACGCCGUAAACGAUGGGCACUAGGCGCUUGGGGGAGCGACCCCCGGGGGCCGGCGCUAACGCAUUAAGUGCCCCGCCUGGGGAGUACGGCCGCAAGGCUG